rnacentral:rRNA from 1 species
AUUGAACGCUGGCGGCAGGCCUAACACAUGCAAGUCGAGCGAGCGGCGGACGGGUGAGUAAUGUCUGGGAAACUGCCUGAUGGAGGGGGAUAACUACUGGAAACGGUAGCUAAUACCGCAUACCAUCAGAUGUGCCCAGAUGGGAUUAGCUAGUAGGUGGGGUAACGGCUCACCUAGGGGACGAUCCCUAGCUGGUCUGCGAGGAUGACCAGCCACAAUGGAACUGAGACACGGUCCAGAAACCUACGGGAGGCAGCAGGGGGGAAUAUUGCCCAAUGGGCGGAAGCCGGAUGCAACCAUGCCGCGUGUGAGAAGAGGGCCUUCGGGUUGUAAAGCACUUUCGGCGGGGAGGCGUUACCCGCAGAAGAAGCACCGGCUAACUCCGUGCCAGCAGCCGCGGUAAUUC